CAUACGUAAACAUACUCUGAAACUAGUGAUGAACACAUACAAAACUCAAAAAUCGUGCAAAACCAGAUCGAUCAAUAACAAACCGGGCUUGCUCCAUUUCCACCACCGACGAUUAAUUCCUACACGUACGCACACCAAGCUAGCUAGGUGGAGUGACCUGUGAAGAAACGAGGCUCCAAUGCGCCAUGCUCUAAUUCUCAAUCCUAGCCAAUUCGUUCAGUUACGAUGCAGCAUCACAAAGCCCUGCACGCCCGUGCUUCGAACCGCGCGCCGGCCACUCGGGAGAAGAAUGCUCGGACGAGAAAGCACACAGCUUGGCUGCAGGUCCAUAUAUAGCUCAUCCCUUCCGCCGUGCAUUGCUUCCACCACGUCGGUGCAAGCAACGGCAGAGGAACUCGCAGAGUCGUGGAGAUCUUCGUUGUCGUCGUCGUCGACGACCCCGGCAUUGCGGCCCAUCGCGGCCGCCUCCUCCCGUUUGACGACGGCGGCCUUCCUCUUCUUCCCGCUCUUCACGUCGCCCAAACCAGGAGACCGC
rnacentral:lncRNA from 1 species